UUUUUAUUGACUUAGUUACCUAAUCGAAAUUUUUAAUUGUGUUUAACUCGGUAGAUAACAAAAUCAGCAUUGGAGCAAAUUGUGAAGAGAUUCGAUCGACGAUGAACUCAAAUUUGCAAUCGAGUCCUUUAUCAUCGCAGCUUUUCACUUCCAUUGAUAUGGGAACAAACUCUUUCAAGCUUCUUAUAGUCCACGCUGAUCCUUGUGGUAGAUCUUUCGUUCCGAUCGAGAGACUCAGAGAGCCAGUGGUGUUGUCUCGCGAAUCUCCGACCUCAAUUUCGUCUCAAUCUCAGGCUCGCGCGCUUCAAUCCCUACGGAAAUUCAAAAGUUUGAUUCUCUCACACAACGUCUCCGUUGACCGGAUCCGAUGCGUCGCGACGGAAGCAUUACGGCGAGCAGAGAAUCAGAAAGAGUUUGUGGAUGCGGUUUUCGAGGAUGUUGGGCUUAAGGUCGAUGUGCUUUCCGGUGAAGAGGAAGCGAGGUUAGUUUAUUUAGGCGUGCUUCAGUUUCUUCCCGUGUUUGAGAAAUCAGUGUUGUGUGUUGAUAUUGGAGGUGGUUCUACUGAAUUUGUGGUUGGUAAGUGUGGUGAUGUGAAGCUUGCUGUUUCUUUGAAGCUAGGUCAUGUGAAUUUGACACAGAUGUUUAUGAAAAAUGGUGGUAUUGGAUUGAAGGAAAUGAGAGACUAUAUCCGUCAUGCGAUUGAUGAGUCUAGGUUAGCAGAUAGAUUGAAGGAAUCCAAUGGCUUUGAGAUGGUUGUGGGAUCUUCUGGAACUAUAAGAGCUAUUGAGAAUGCAGUUUUCAGUGGCUAUGGAGCUGAUUUGUGUGAAUUCAAUUUGGAAGGGUAUAAGAGGGACUGGAGAUUUGGCACAAGAGAGCUGAGCAGCGUUGUAGCGAAGCUAUGCAGUGAAGGAGACGAAGAGCUGAUUCGGAGGGAGGGAUUUUUCAAGAGAAGAUCAGAGUUCAUUGUUGCUGGGGCCGUAUUGUUGGAGGAAAUAUUCAAGGCUCUUGGUAUAGAGGAUUUGGAGGUCUCAGAGUAUGCGUUGGCAGAGGGUGUGAUUGCUGAUUCUCUGGCCAAAGCUUUUGAUGGAUCAUAUGAUUUGAAUGCCAAUGCAAGGUGGCGGUCGGUCAUGCGGCUUGCCACGCGAUUCAAUGGUAAAAAGCGAAUGACUCACGCGAUACACUGUGCCAAGAUCGCCAAGGAGAUCUAUGUAGGUUUGAGGAAGUGCAAUGAUUUUAAGGUUAUCUUAGACGAUAAGGAGCUUGAGUAUCUCGAAGCUGCUUGUUUCUUGCACAAUAUCGGAAUCAUCAUAGGGAAAAAGGGAUAUCAUAAGCAGUCUUAUCAUAUCAUCAAGAAUGGGGAUCAUCUCCAUAGCUACACUGCUGAGGAAAUCGAGCUUAUAGCUAUGCUUGUGAGAUACCAAAGAAAAAAGUUUCCUAAGCUUGAUCGUGCACCUCUUAAAGACUUCACUGAGGAGGCAAAGCGAAAAUUCAUAAUUUUGUGUUUGAUUACACGAUUAUCGGUUAUACUUCAACGUAAUGAGAAUAUGGAUCUCCAAGAAGUUGAAUUUCUUGAAUCUUCCGAGACCUUCAAACUCGUGCUGAAAGAAAAAAAACAACACCAGGAACCCGUAGAAGUUGGUUAUCAAGAUCAAGUAAACAAAAACUCUAAUGAAUCCCAACUGGAGAAAGAAGUUGAGCAUUUUAAAAGGCUAUACAAAAAGGAAAUGAUGAUUGUUUUUCCUUCCUGAAAAUCAUCAGAGAAUCAGACGGUAUGUAAGCUCAAUGAAUCAUCGGUAUGUCAAAACUGAGGCAGCUCUCACAGGUAUGAGAAACAUUCUCUGCAUCAAAGAUCAAAAGCAUGCUAUCUAACACCUCAUAACCAUCAUAAACCAUACCCCUGUCACGGUAGAACUAAACCUCUACAUCAUUUGGUACAGAGAGUUGUUGGUUUCUUUCCUGGAGUUUUUCGUUGUCCAAUUUAUGAAGUCAAAAACGUCAGGUGAUCUUUAGUUAUCCAUGAUCUUGCAGUUUUAAACCAGAAACUGAUGGUAAAACUAUGAUUGUACGCAGAAUGAAUUGGUCUAAUGAAAAGAGAUGUUGAAAUGGUUGCCUGCGAACCAACGGCAUCUACACAUGGCUGCAGGACCAAGUGAAUGAAGCCGGGGCGGGUGAAGCCCUUGAUUCUCAUCUGAAAAAUGCUACUACCAUGGUGAAGAAGCAACCAAUGACAAGUUUUAAUAUCUGAAAACGUUGAGAUUUCUAAUUUUCAGAAUUUUGGGGGUUUCUUAAUGAAUACUAAAACUAAUAUUUACAACAAAAACAAGUUUGGUAUAUCAUAAAAAUUUAAGA